UAAAUCCAUUUAUCGCUUUCUGUUGGCUAGAAGGGAUGCGAUAUUGCUUAUGGGUAUUAAUGGUAAUGGGUUCUUGAUAUUGACAUAAUCUAAAUCUCAGUGGAGGUAGAAAACCUUGACCAGGGCAAAACAAGCAAAACUAGGUUAUUAAAAUAAAGAGCUAAUUCUACCAAAAAAUAAAUAAAUAAAAUAAAGAGCUAAGAGCUUGAAUUAUAACGUACUUAAGUAUCAAACCGUUUUUGUUUCUUAAACUAUUUUAACACAAAUGAGAUAUUGCUCAACAACAUUACCAAUAAAUGUAUAAAAAUAAUUAACAGCCGUUACACGUGAGCAUCUAUUAAUCAUUUGAUGUGUUUUCUUUGCAUCCAUUCAUUAAUUAGUAUGGUAUGGAACAUGCAAAAACGAAAAUUAGGCAGGCA
rnacentral:lncRNA from 1 species